rnacentral:sRNA from 1 species
ACGACGACAAAAUCUACUUCUUCUUUCGUGAGACGGCGGUAGAGGCGGCGCCGGCACUGGGACGCCUGUCCGUGUCCCGCGUUGGCCAGAUCUGCCGGGUGAGGAGUCCCUGGGCCACACCCGGCGACCCUGCCCCUACCCCUUUGCCUGCCCUGGUCUCGCCCUCAUCCCCUUUGAUCGUCCCGGCAGAACGACGUGGGCGGCCAGCGCAGCCUGGUCAACAAGUGGACGACGUUCCUGAAGGCGCGGCUGGUGUGCUCGGUGCCCGGCGUCGAGGGCGACACCCACUUCGAUCAGCUCCGUGAGUGCGGGAGUGGGUAUGGGGUUGGGGAGGGGGGCAGCGGCGCAGACUCCGGGAGCCCCCGCCGCAGCGGGGCUGUGCGCCCUACCCCAGCUAGGCCCCUUCCCCGCAGAGGAUGUGUUUCUGUUGUCCUCGCGGGACCACCGGACCCCGCUGCUCUAUGCCGUCUUCUCCACGUCCAGCAGCAUCUUCCAGGGCUCUGCGGUGUGCGUGUACAGCAUGAACGACGUGCGCCGGGCCUUCUUGGGACCCUUUGCACACAAGGAGGGGCCCAUGCACCAGUGGGUGUCAUACCAGGGUCGCGUCCCCUACCCGCGGCCAGGCAUGGUUCGUAGCCCAGGGACUUCUACUACAACCCACUUCAAAGCCUCAAGGGUUUGAGAACUUGGCCUGGGGUCUUCUUGGUGAAUGUGGUUUCUUCCUUUAGUUAUGGGUGGGAAAACGUUUCCAUCAUAAGACAAGGCUUGUUUCCCGCCUCUGACUUCCUAGGGCAAGGCUGAUCUCCUCUCUAAUUCUCAGGGCAGGGUUCUGUCCCCAUCCCCCUCCAUGUUCCCAGAGGCUGGGCAUGGAGGGCUGCCUAUCAAGCCCCCAUAUCUAUAUCCCUGCUGUGCCUCCCUUUCCCCCACCCCCAGUGUCCCAGCAAGACCUUUGGCACCUUCAGUUCCACCAAGGACUUCCCAGACGAUGUCAUCCAGUUUGCGCGGAACCACCCCCUCAUGUACAACCCUGUCCUGCCCAUUGGGGGGCGCCCUCUUUUCCUACAAGUUGGAGCCAAUUACACCUUCACUCAAAUUGCCGCGGACCGGGUUGCAGCCGCUGACGGACACUAUGACGUCCUCUUCAUUGGCACAGACGCUGGCACGGUGCUGAAGGUGAUCUCGGUCCCCAAGGGCAGUAGGCCCAGCGCAGAGGGGCUGCUCCUGGAGGAGCUGCACGUGUUUGAGGUGAGGCCUCGCCCCCAGUCGCCCGGGACCCCCCCACCCCCCUAAGCCCUGACCCCGUCGCCCCUCCUCCCUCUCAGGACUCGGCCGCUGUCACGAGCAUGCAAAUUUCUUCCAAGAGGGUGAGUGACCAGGAUGGGGAUCGGGGUGGGAUGGACUGAGCUUGUGCCUGGCGCGUCCCAAGCCUCUGGCCCCUUUUGGUAGUUUGCAGUCCCGGGUUUGAGUACAGGCUCUGGCUUUGCUAGACUGUGUGACCUGAGGCGUAAGACCUCAGUGUUCCCAUCUGUCGAGUGGGAGAAGGGAUCCCUGACCGAUGGGAGGCAGGCGUGGGGUCGCCCUCGGUCAGCCCAGAGCCCCUCGUGCCCCCUAGCACCAGCUGUACGUAGCCUCGCGGAGCGCGGUGGCCCAGAUCGCGUUGCACCGCUGCGCUGCCCACGGCCGCGUCUGCACCGAAUGCUGUCUGGCGCGUGACCCCUACUGCGCCUGGGACGGGGUCGCGUGCACGCGCUUCCAGCCCAGUGCCAAGAGGCGGUUCCGGCGGCAAGACGUAAGGAAUGGCGACCCCAGCACGUUGUGCUCCGGAGACUCGUCUCGUCCCGCGCUGCUGGAACACAAGGUGUUCGGCGUGGAGGGCAGCAGCGCCUUUCUGGAGUGUGAGCCCCGGUCGCUGCAGGCGCGCGUGGAGUGGACUUUCCAGCGCGCAGGGGUGACAGCCCACACCCAGGUAAGCCUUACUCCGCCCUCCCCGCCAGGCUCCUGUCCCACCCCCUGCAUCCAGGAGAGGCCCCGCCCUACCCAACGAAGCCCCGUCCAACCAGAUCCACUCCCCGCCCUGUCCAGUUUGGUCCCUCACCUGCACUCCACAAGCUGCUGAGGCCCCAUUGCGUCCAACGGGGCUCCCGACCCGCCUCCCCUGAAUCAAGGAGAAGACCCGCCCUCGACCCUCCCAUUGAGGUCCCUGACCCACCCACCACCACUCCCCCCCACGUUCAUGUAAACCCCGCCUCUUUCGGAUUCUCCCUUGAAGACCACCAGCUCCCAAACACUCAGCCUUAAAAUGUGCGCCUGCGGGCACCCCUUUCCCGCUCCACCUCGGCUCCCAAUGACUCUUUGCUUCUUCCGUCGCGUGCUAGGGCCCGGAAGCCCUGUUCCCGGCCCGACACCUCCGCCUCACGCUGCCCUCUGCCCGCAGGUGCUGGCAGAGGAGCGCACCGAGCACACCGCCCGGGGACUACUGCUGCGCAGGCUGCGGCGCCGGGACUCGGGCGUGUACUUGUGCGCCGCCGUCGAGCAGGGCUUUACGCAACCGCUGCGUCGCCUGUCGCUGCACGUGUUGAGUGCUACGCAGGCCGAACGACAGGCGCGGGCCGAGGAGGCUGCGCCCGCCGCGCCGCCGGGCCCCAAACUCUGGUACCGGGACUUUCUGCAGCUGGUGGAGCCGGGCGGCGGUGGCAGCGCGAACUCCCUGCGCAUGUGCCGCCCGCAGCCUGCGCUGCAGUCACUGCCCCUGGAGUCGCGGAGAAAGGGCCGUAACCGGAGGACCCACGCCCCUGAGCCUCGCGCUGAGCGGGGGCCGCGCAGCGCAACGCACUGGUGACUGGACUGUCCCCACGCCGGGAACCAAGCAGGAGACGACAGGCGAGAGAGGAGCCAGACAGACCCUGAAAAGAAGGACGGGUUGGGGCCGGGCACAUUGGGGGUCACCGGCCGAUGGAGACACCAACCGACAGGCCCUGGCUGAGGGCAGCUGCGCGGGCUUAUUUAUUAACAGGAUAACCCUUGAAUGUAGCAGCCCCGGGAGGGCGGCACAGGUCGGGCCCAGGAUUCAGCCGGAGGGAAGGGACGGGGAAGCCGGGCUCCAGAGCAACGACCAGGGCCGAGGAGGUGCCUGGAGUGCCCACCCUGGGAGACAGACCCCACCUCCUUGGGUAGUGAGCAGUGAGCAGAAAGCUGUGAACAGGCUGGGCUGCUGGAGGUGGGGCGAGGCAGGCCGACUGUACUAAAGUAACGCAAUAAACGCAUUAUCAGCCAAAGCUGGAAUGGCCCCAGCAG